AUGGAUCGAGGUUGGAUGAGUCAACCAAGAGCUAGUGCUGCUUACAAAGAUGGUGUCAAGCAAUUUCUGACUUUUGCAUUCCGUGAUGUUCCGGCCGGUGAUAGAAUUCUUUGUCCUUGUGUAAAUUGCCGAAAUAAAGCUACGCAGAGUUAUGAUGGAGUGAAGACUCACUUGAGAUGUGAUGGUAUUCUUCAAGGUUACACUAAGUGGGUUUGCCAUGGAGAGGAUUACAGUGAACCAUCAUUUGCAUUUGCUCAUGUAUCAGAUAACAGUGGCAAUCUUUCUAUUCCUGGCAUCCCAAGGAAUGUUGUUGGAGAAAGCAGCCAUGGAAGGUUGGAUGACAUGCCAGGACUCUUAAGUGCCGUCUUUGCUAUGGCUAACAGUUGUGAAUCUUUAUCAAGCACAUCUGAUGGUGAAUUAGAUGGCCUUGAAUUUGAGAAUAUGGAAACAAAUUCAGUUGAGGAUGAGAAUGCAGAUGCUCAAACAAGUAAGAAACCUGAUACAUAUGCAAGCUUCUUGGAGGAUGCAAACACAGAGUUAUACCCUGGAUGUAAUGCAUUUUCUAAGUUGUCAUUUCUCAUCACCUUGUAUCACAUGAAAUGCUUACAUGGAUGGACACAAGAAUCAUUUACAACGCUACUUGGUGUUUUGUCUGAUGCACUUCCAGAGGCACAAAUACCAAAGAAGUACUAUGAGGUACAAAAAAUCAUUCGUGGCUUAAGGCUUGACUAUGAGAAAAUCCAUGCAUGCCCCAAUGACUGUAUGCUUUUCCGAGGUGAACGAGCUGAUCAAGACUCUUGCCAUGUGUGUGGCAGCUCGCGUUGGGUUACAGAUGACAAGAAAGACUCCCAAGCUGAAUCUGUAUCUAAGCAAUCUAAGCAAAAGAAGAAACCAGCCAAGGUGUUGCGUUACUUUCCUUUGAUACCGAGGAUUCAAAAGCUCUUUGCAACAACAAAAACAUCUGAUGACAUGCGUUGGCACGACGAGGGUCGUACCAAAGAUGGAAAGAUACGGCAUCCGGCUGAUGCCGAGUGUUGGAAAGAUCUUGAUGCUAGAUACCCCAAUUUUGCUGCUGAUCCUCGUAAUCCGCGCCUUGGCAUUGGAAGUGAUGGAUUUAACCCUUUCCGGAGUAUGAUUUCAAAACAUAGUACUUGGCCAGUGAUGCUUAUCCCGUACAACCUACCGCCUUGGAUUUGCAUGAAAGAAACAUCUCUAAUUUUAUCAAUGAUCAUUCCUGGACCAGCUUCCACUGGGAAUGACAUUGAUAUAUAUUUGCAGCCACUGAUUGAUGAGCUCUUACAAUUAUGGGAUGGUGUAGACACA
rnacentral:rRNA from 1 species